rnacentral:lncRNA from 1 species
GAGUGCGGAUGGCAGCCGGGGUCCUUGCCAGAGAGUCUCAGUGACGAGGCAGGGUCUCCACGCACUGGAAUAGUGUCAAACCACACACAAGGGCACAGAACCCAGGGACACAGGGCGGCUGAGACACGCAGCUGGUGAUGGCCCUCAGGACGGUGUCAACCAGUAUGUAAUCACAUUCCACACGGCACCAACUGGACAGCGGCCUCCGGUCAGCCUCACUCUGACUGCAACCCCCUCUCACUGGACAGCAUCACCUGGACACAGAGCCUCACCUAGUCUGUGUCCCGUGGACACAACUUUGCUUUGGACAGUGACACCAAGAAUACUCACCCCUUUACUUAGCCAGACCACAGGCAGCCACUGGGACACAAACAUCUCUCCAGAGUCACCCUCCACACAGACUCCACAGCAGAACUCCCAGGGAGGCACUGGGGCAUGGCUUCAGAGCACCAGGCAGCCCUCCGCGGUGCCCAGCACCCGCUC